UGGAUGUCGUGUCCCUGCCAAAACCUGCAUUUCUGGCAGGAGUUGGGGAGAGACGGGAGGAGACCCAGGAGCAGGGCGAGCGCAGGGCUGGAGGCGCGAGUCUGGCUGGCUCUGGAGAAGCGAGCACAGGGCUGGCGGGCUGGGUCACCACCGUGACCUGGGGCCGGGAACCUGGCCUCUCCACGCCCCUCUGCCUCAGCAAGACCCAGCCAGGCGCUUGUCAUCAGGCCGAAUGGGACAGAGGUGGAGAGAGCACCGGGCAAGGGCCAGGCAGGUGCUGAGUGUUAAGGCACCUGGAACGGCCGGCACGUGACGGAGCAGCGGGGGAGGGAACUCGAGGGGGAGGAGAGGGUGUCUGCAGCCUGAGUGGAAGGAGCCGAGGGAGGAAGUUCCGUGGAAGAUUCCAGAGCGGGAAUGAGGCUCGAGGGAGCUUCUGGAAGAGACUGAUCAUUGGGAGAAGGCGGUUUCCCGCCCGGAGCGUCCUGAUCCCAGAGCCCAGGGCCUCGACCACCAGGGCUGCAGUUCCACCACUCCGUUCUGGGGACCAUCUUUUAAGAGACACAGGCAGUUUGAAGCAGAGAGAAGAAGGAACAGGCCUGCUUCCUGCCGAGGGACGGCGUGGGGAAGCAGCGAUUCUGCAGGACUGCGAGUCAGGAGACGGUGAGGUGCACCCCAGGUCUGUUCCAAUUCACUGUGCAGUUUUAGGAAAUAUUCUUCGGAGCUGCACUUGCCCCAACUGGACACUGAAGGGACUGCCUAGAGCACGGGUUUGCAAAAACACACCCCUUGCAAUGUUCGUAGGUGUUUGGUGGAACAAAGGAGCCUUAAAUCAAAAGAGUUUGGGAAAAGCUGCGUUAUCACCAGCUAAAACAGGUUUCUUUGCCGCAGGACUUCUCAGAUCCUUUAAUGAACCAUCAUGCACUGUGACUCUCCAAAUAGGGACUAGAACAGUCUCUAGUUCUGUUUACAAAGAGGGUUUCCAGGAGCUGGCGCGCCGGGCUGGGUAGAGUGGGUGGAUAUGCAGGUCUGGAUGAUCUUGAGCUAAGAGUCUCCAGGCUCUGAUGUUCCGUGAGACAAGCUUCCCCCAGACGCCUUCACCGCAGCGGCCGAGGACAGGGUCUGGGCUGAGCACAGAGACGCGACACGGAGCCACCACGCACGUGUUUUAACCUCUGAGGUUGCCCUUGCUGGCACCAGCCCAAGUAGGUCACUACACACGAAGCAGGUGGGGACAGAGAGCAAACUUCUCUGGGACGUUUCUGUCCGAGCGUGAAGUGUCACGUGUCACGGGACGGGCAGUGUCUGCGGGCUGCGCUGACAGGGUUGGGCCAGUGCGCUCGGGGGCAGAAAUGUAACAGCAUGGGGUUGACGCUCGGUGACAACGACAACCACGGUGGGGAUCCUGCCCGAGGCGGUGGUGAUGGGGCAGCCUGGCGUGAUCAUGAGCGGCAGGGACAAUGACCAAGACCAUGAAAAAGCUGCUUUUCCAGUAAGUGGGCUCCCAGGGUUGAAACAAGCAUGUGGCUGGCGGUGCUUCUGCUGUGAUCCCAGACGGGCUGGGGUGAGGGCGGCAGCUCCCAGACCCGUCGAAACCCACCCCUUCCCUCUGGUGCCCCUUUGCCAAGGCUCCCUCUCUAGCUGGGUGAACUUCAGCCCUCUGGAGCCACUGCCUCCCAGGGGAACUCUGAGAGGGAGGUGGGAGCAGCCUGUUGACACUGGCCCCCGGUAUUGGGUGGGGAGGCAGGCCUGUCACCCUGUGACACACUCCCCCCCCCCGCCGGUUCAGGCCAACUGGCAGGGGGGCCCAAUAAUGAGGUUCCUCUGAUCCCUCCGAGAAGCUGCUGCCCUUUCUCUGUGCACAGAGCGGUCCUGGCUCUCUGUUUCCAUGGCAACAAGAGUUCCAAGAGCAGGAUGCUGCCAGCUCUUCCGUUCCCCUCCUCCCCCAAUCAGAGAGAAGCCUCCUCCUGCUCUGGGGACAAGGCAGGGGUCCUCCAAAGCUGAGCCAAUCCAAAGCCCACCUGGAGCCCCCAACCCCGCCCCCCACCUCCUGAGUAAAUCCCAGGAGGCUGGCACGGAGAGGAUGAAAUGAAUGGAGAGACACAGGAAAGCUGCCAAGUCACCGGGCAGGCUUGGAAGCUUAAUGAGGUGCUUCGCACUUGUGCCCGAGGGUGAGGCUCGACACCCCGAUCCCUGCGCCACACCCAGAGUCACGGAACGCACCCCCUUUCAGGGCCCAGCAGGUGCGGGUCCCAGCAGCAGCACGGCUGGGAGAGGUAGGAUGCCCAAGCCCAAGCUCUCGUACCUUCUUCAGGAUGAGAGGGACAAUUGGAAUCGAGUCUGACUUGAUCAUUGUGCAGGUGACAAAGGUGACUUUCAAAGAGGGAAGGGGACAGCCCAAGGUCAAACAGGGCAGAGCCAAACCGGGGCUCAGACCCCGACGCCCAGUCCCACGCUCGUCUCUGAACAACGCUGCUCCUUUGCGGUACCCGGGUCUUUCUCACCUCCUGCCCCCUCUCCUACAGCCCAAGGGAGGGGACCCUGAGGCCAGGGGGCCCCAUCCCUGCCCUGUUGGUCCUCGGCGGCUCAGCCCACCUUCAGGAAAGCAAUAAGCCGUACCCCUCUGGGCCUCAGUUUCUCUGUCUAUAAACUGGGGAUAAUGAGACCUAGGCCCCAGGAUGGUUGGACAAUGACAAGAGGCACCCCAUGGCUAUUUGCAUAAUGAGAGGCCUGUGCCCCUGAGGGGCGGGGGCUCUUGUGGGAAGGGACAGGACGGGGGAGAAAGUAAUGCCGAAGAGAACAGGGGCCGGACUCAAGAAGACCCAAAAGACCCACACAUGACUGCAGGUCACUCAUGUCAUCGAAUAAAAAGGACCCACUUAUCUCA